UACCUAAAUUAUUGAUGCCCUUACAGAAACACUAAUUAGAGGACAGCUGCUAACCCCACCCCACCCCCAGUCUCUUCUGUUCUCUGGCGAAACAGCUUUCCUUUGAGCUCCCUCCCACCCCCUUAAGGCAAAGGGAGUUGUAUGAUUUGAAUAUAAAGGCAGCAAGAAGAAAAUUUGAGUCUUUGGAUGCAAAAAGGCAACUGAUGGCAAGCUUCACAGCUGUUUCAGAGAGCAGCUGGCACAUUCUGCUGAAUACAUGCUCGGGUGCCUCGGGACUGAACUUGCUUGGUUUGGAUACACAUACCAGCUCGCCCUGACUGGAGUCAAUACUGGGUAC
rnacentral:lncRNA from 1 species